UACAGAGGGUGCGAGCGUUAAUCGGAAUUACUGGGCGUAAAGCGCACGUAGGUGGCGACGUAAGUCGGGUGUGAAAGCCCCGGGCUCAACCUGGGAAUUGCAUUCGAGACUGCAUUGCUGGAGUACGGAAGAGGAGGGCGGAAUUCCCGGUGUAGCGGUGAAAUGCGUAGAGAUCGGGAAGAACAUCGGUGGCGAAAGCGCUCUACUGGACCGCAACUGACACUGAGGGACGAAAGCUAGGGGAGCGAAUGGG
rnacentral:rRNA from 1 species